GAGUUUGAUCCUGGCUCAGAACGAACGCUGGCGGCGUGCUUAACACAUGCAAGUCGAACGUGAUCCGGAGCUUGCUCCGGUGAAAGUGGCGCACGGGUGAGUAACGCGUGGAUAAUCUGCCCUGGUAUCUGGGAUAACAUCUCGAAAGGGGUGCUAAUACCGGAUAAGCCCACGGGAUCCUCGGAUUCUGCGGGAAAAGGUGGCCUCUAUUUAUAAGCUACCGUAUCAGGAUGAGUCCGCGUACCAUUAGCUAGUUGGUGGGGUAAUGGCCCACCAAGGCUACGAUGGUUAGCUGGUCUGGGAGGAUGAUCAGCCACACUGGAACUGARACACGGUCCAGACUCCUACGGGAGGCAGCAGUGGGGAAUUUUGCGCAAUGGGCGAAAGCCUGACGCAGCGAUGCCGCGUGAGUGAAGAAGGCCUUCGGGUCGUAAAGCUCUGUCGCAGGGAAAGAAAUGUGCGGGUGCCAAUACCACCUGUACUUGACGGUACCCUGAAAGGAAGCACCGGCUAACUCCGUGCCAGCAGCCGCGGUAAUAC
rnacentral:rRNA from 1 species